AUUGAACGCUGGCGGAAUGCUUUACACAUGCAAGUCGAACGGCAGCACGGGAGCUUGCUCCUGGUGGCGAGUGGCGAACGGGUGAGUAACAUAUCGGAACGUACCCAGUGGUGGGGGAUAACACAUCGAAAGAUGUGCUAAUACCGCAUACGACCUGAGGGUGAAAGGGGGGGAUCGCCAGAGCCCUCGCCGUUGGACCGGCCGAUAACGGAUUAGCUAGUUGGUGAGGUAAAGGCUCACCAAGGCGACGAUCCGUAGCUGGUCUGAGAGGAUGAUCAGCCACACUGGGACUGAGACACGGCCCAGACUCCUACGGGAGGCAGCAGUGGGGAAUUUUGGACAAUGGGGGCAACCCUGAUCCAGCCAUUCCGCGUGAGUGAAGAAGGCCUUCGGGUUGUAAAGCUCUUUCGGCAGGAACGAAACGGUGGAUCCUAAUACGGUCUGCUAAUGACGGUACCUGAAGAAGAAGCACCGGCUAACUACGUGCCAGCCGCCGCGGUAA
rnacentral:rRNA from 1 species